AGGAAUUUCAGACAGAUCACCAUUACUUAUGCAUAGGUGGGUUUUUGUUUUUUUCAAAGUUAAUAUUGCUCUUCCUUUUACAUAUUUGGAUUACUGUGUGGCUGUGGGAUACAGAGGGAGAAAUCUGCAGGUGCCAGCAAUUGAUUCGUCUGACUUGCUUCUGCUUUUAUCUUCUUCCUCUCCAGCCCUCAAACCUCCAACCCAUCAUUUCAAGAAAGCCAGUUACGCCUCCACAAGCACCACCUUCCCACCUUUCCCCAAGAAAACGGAGGACUACUUGGUGAAGUACAAGCUGCUUGAUCAGAGGGGCAGAAUGAAGAAGAUCCAGCACAUUUCACAGCACUGGAAUAAGAAAUAGACGGGAAAGGAAAGCGUCGUCCCUGUAUCCCUGCCCUACCCCCCACCUGAUAGCCAGUUAUUAAUGGAGGACAUUUUGGAACCAGAGCAAAAAGCACUUUGAAAGCUGCACAAAUUAUUGGGGAAAUGUAUAUAAUGUAACAUGUGCAAUGGAGGCAUUUCCUAGUCAUAAUUCAUCCUGUUUCACCAGGAUGCCCUGCAUAUAGUAGCAUCAAAUCCCUUCAUCCAUGUGCACAAAAUCCCUGCGUCUGCAUUCAGGACUGGGUCCUGACUGAGUUAUUAUUUCUGGACUGUAUCUGCCCACAUAGCCCAUAAUAGGUGACUGGCAUGGCCAACUUUGGCAGUCAAUUACCUUUUCAGAGAGGCGACCUGAAUCUAGUUUUACAGAGGGUGGGUUGUUUGGUUUUUCCCAAUGUGUCUUUGCAUGCAGGGGCUACUCUCACCUGGUUUAGCUGUUUCCCAGGAUGUGGUCUGGGAGCCGCAGGUGAGAAAAACUAUCCCAGAAGGAGCUUAACACCCACAAUACACACACAUACAGUCAUACCUCGGAUUACAGACACUUCAGGUUGUGUGUUUUCGGGUUACGCACCGCGCCGAACCCAGAAGUACCGGAACGAGUUACUUCCGGGUUUCGGCACUCGCGUAUACGCAGAAGCACUAAAUCGUGACCCACAUGUGCGCAGACGCAGCACUGCAGGUUGUGAACGUGCCUCCCGCACGGAUCACGUUCGCAACCUGAGCGUCCACUAUAUAUGUAUAUUUCUGGUGCCACCAGUGCAGAACAUUAGGGAACAGAUAGUAAUCUAAGCUUAGACAAAUCCAGCAGCCAAUCUGUCUCUAGGCCAGUUUCACCUGGAUAUUGUACUUAAUGGGACCUUUCUACAAAAAGAAGAGAGAGUUCACAUUUGCAUAGGUCUCCAUUUCUUUUUUUUUCUUUUUUUAAAAAAAUAAUAUUUAUUAAAGUUUCAAAGGAAAAAAAAAUCACAUUAGUAAAAAAAAAUUAACAAUGAAAAGGAAAAAUACAAAGUAGAAAAAAAAGAAAAAACAGUUAAAAACAAUUCCAUCUUUUCCUCACUUCUUUUACGUUUACUUGUUUCCCGGACCUCCUCCUACCUCCCUCUUUUGUAUUCCAAUUAAAUUUGUUAAUCCAACAAUUCCUUUCCCUCCUUUUUAAUCCUAAUCUUUAAUCUUGAUAUAUUAUAACUUUAAAUUUUUACAUAUUAAAAACCAAUUUUUCCAUAUUCUUUUGUACCUGUACAGCUAGAAACCACUUAACUUCAAUCCAACAUCAUUCUAACAUUCAUUAAUUUUGCAAUAUUUCUGUAAAUAGUCUUUAAAUUUCUUCCAAUCUUCUUCCACCGACUCUUCUCCCUGGUCACGGAUUCUGCCAGUCAUUUCCGCCAAUUCCAUGUAGUCCAUCAUUUUCAUCUGCCAUUCCUCCAGUGUGGGUAGAUCUUGUGUCUUCCAAUGCUUUGCAAUGAGUAUUCUUGCUGCUGUUGUAGCAUACAUAAAGAAAGUUCUAUCCUUUUUUAACACCGAUUGGCCGACUAUGCCCAGGAGGAAGGCCUCUGGUUUCUUCAAGAAGGUAUAUUUAAAUACCUUUUUUAGUUCAUUAUAUAUCAUCUCCCAGAAAGCCUUAAUCUUUGGGCACGUCCACCAAAGGUGAAAAAAUGUACCUUCAUGCAUAGGUCUCCAUUUCAAUUCAUUUUUAUUUCUCCCCUCUCAUCUGCUCCUUCAAUUUAGAAACAACCGAGGCUUUAUUUCCAGAACUGAGGUGAUUGUGUUGCAGUAUCGUUUUAUAAACAGGCAGACCAAAAGCAAGACAUUCAUAUAUGAUAACGGUCUCCCCUCGGGAGGCUGCGGACUCUCCUUCCUUGGCAGUUUUUAAGCAGAGGUUGGAUGGCCAUCCGUCGUAGAUGCCUUAGCUGAGUUUCCUGCAUUGAAGGGUUGGACUAGAUGCCCCCUGGUCCCUUCCACCUCUGCAAUUCUAUGAUUAUACAAUUCUAUUACAGUCGUACCUUGGCUGACGAACGCCUUGCGACUCCAACGUUUUGGCUCCUGAACUCCGCAAACCCAGAAGUGAGUGUUCCGGUUUGCGAAUGUUCUUUGGAACCCGAACAUCCAACAUGGCUUCUGAUUGGCUGCAGGAGCUUCCUGCAGCCAACCAGAAGCCACGCUUUGGUUUUUGAUCAUUUUCUGAAGUCGAACGGACUCCCGGAAUGGAUUCCAUUAGUCAACUAAGGUACGACUGUACAGUUUUCCUAGAGCAGGGCUCUAGGCUGAGUGGGAUCCACUCCAGGUCUGUCUGGCCCUUGAGAAUCUCUCUAGGCAUCAGAACUUCACUUGUCCUCGAGUGCUUUUCUCAGCCUGGAAUGUCUUUUUCACUUGCCUGGAGAGGGAGAAAGCUCUGUGUGGCCCUGUGUCUAGACAUAUCUGACUUGCAAGUGGCUGCAAUGCAACCUGGCAUCCUAUAAAUAUGAAGAUCAUAUCCUUUGUGUCUCCUGGCUCUGCCUCUGGAGCCUGGAGCCUUCUGAAUGCAAAAGCAGCAGCUCUACCAGUGAGCUAACGUCCUUCCCCAAGGGAAGACUUCAUGGCUUCAGGCAGCAAAAUGUCUUGAACAGGCCCUGCUCCUCCUUCCAGGUCUAGGACCUCUGGAACAGCUACAUGUCUGGGCAGAAGCUCAGGUCCAGCUGUGUAGGCUUCUAGGCCUGAUUCAGAAAAACCUGUAAAAUGAACUCCUUGCCAGAGCUCAGGAGGCAGGCGAGGGGAUGGAGAGAAAAGGGGAAAUCCUUAUCCGGUCAGGGUUUUUUCUGCCAGUUUGUCUGCCUUCCUCAUUCUCUUUAAGCAAAUGAAUUUUAAUAAAUGGGAAGACAGCAAGUCAACUGGAGUUGUCACGGAAAACCACAUCGUCAGGAAAACUUCUCCUGAGAACAUGUGCGUUCUAGGCCUACAAAUGGGCAAGAUAUUCUUUUCAGUGGAAUGGCUCCAUGUCUUAAAGUCACUGUCCAGCCCAAUCCUUUGUAGCACCUCAGAACUGUGUUCCCCUUCCCCCCAGGCAUCAUGCUUUGCCGAAUCCACUCUUUUUCUUCUUUAAUAGGAGAGUUGCCUAUAUCCUUGCACACAAAGCCUUGUAAAAUUAGGGGGAGGGGGAGAGAAUGUGAUUUUAUGUCUUAUGAAUUUCAUGACAAAAGGAGAAAAUAUUUUUGACAUUGCUUGUAAAGUGUCACUUAGAUUAUCUGCAGAAAAGGUUGUAUAAAAUGCAAUAUUUUAUUCUUCCAAAUGAGCCUUGUUUAUUUGUGAGUUUGUUUGUGCGGAGGCUUCCCUUUUCCUGUUUGCAUAUCUAGAUGAUAUCACAUUUCAAUUCCACAACUCUUCCAAACGAUGGUGUAUUUAGUUAGGCUUUGGAAAGCGGUGGUUUUGUAGUAGAAAAAUGGGACAAUCAUUUAAUCUUAAGCAGCCCAAAUCAGUUGCAACCUGCAAGUAGUGCUGUUCUUCAUGAUACAACACUCCCAUCUUGUGGUCAUAGCUGUAGGGUGCAAAAUGCACAAUUUUGUUUUAUUUUAUUGCUCAAGUAGCUGUUAUAUGCUCUAGAGCGAUUUCUCACAACCUACAUAGCAGUGAAAUAAUACACAGUACAUAUUUAAAAUACUUUGAAUUCCCCCCCAAAAUGUUAAAUAUCAUCACAGACUGAAUUGGAUGGAGAAUUAGAAAAAAACAAAAACUUGAAAUUCAGGUGGAAACAUAGCUGUCCUGAACAAACACAUCUUAUGAGGUGCUUUUUUCUAACCUUGUUUCUUGCAACCCCCCUUUUUUGUCUUGAUAUUUGUAAUUUCAAAUUUAUCUACAUUAAUUCAUGACACUUUAGGAUUUUACCGUCAUUGGUUACGUUCAGAUGUAACAACAAACCAUGGUUUGGUGUUAUGUCUGACCUUACACCAAUUUACAAAAAGUGCUUUUGCAGUGGGACUGCCAAACCAGGAAAACAAAGCUUGGAACAUAGGAAGCCUUCACAUGCUAAGUCAGCGCAUUGGGCCAUCUAGCUGACUGGCAGGAUUUCAGACAAAGUAUAUUCCCAGGCUGAUUCAACCUGGCACAUUCUGCAUGCAAAGAAGCUAGUUUGCAAACCACACUUUCUGCUAACUCCUAAAUUCACAAACCACUGGCAAUCCACAAAAUCGCUGCCCCAAUCAAGAGCCUGCACCACAGAGACAGAAUAAAACGUUUGAAGCCUUACCAAACAGGAACUGAAAGCAGGCAGCUCUAAACCAUAAGAGUACAUUUGGAAGUUUGAAACUAUGGUUUGGACUACUGACUAUGGGCAUUGCUUUUUUGGGGGGGGGGGGAGGAAUAUAUAUCUUGAGAAAGCGCCAGCACAAAAUGGUUGCCAAUAC
rnacentral:lncRNA from 1 species